rnacentral:rRNA from 1 species
AUUGAACGCUGGCAGCAGGCCUAACACAUGCAAGUCGAGCGAGCGGCGGACGGGUGAGUAAUGUAUGGGGACUGCCCGAUAGAGGGGGAUAACUACUGGAAACGGUAGCUACUACCGCAUACUAUCGGAUAACCCAUAUGGGAUUAGCGAGUAGGUGAGGUAAUGGCUCACCUAGGCGACGAUCCCUAGCUGGUCUGAGCGGAUGAUCAGCCACACUGGGACUGAGAAAAGGCCCAGACUCUUACGGAGGCAGCAGGGGGGAAUAUUGCACAAAGGGCGAAAGCCUUAGGCAGCCAUGCAGCGUGGAUGAAGAAGGCCAUAGGGUUGUAAAGUACUUUCAGUCGGGAGGCGUUACCGACAGAAGAAGAAACGGCUAACUCCGUGCCAGCAGCCGCGGUAAUUC